GAUGAAGAACGUAGCGAAAUGCGAUAAGUAAUGCGAAUUGCAGAAUUUCCGUGAGUCAUCGAAUCUUUGAACGCACAUUGCGCCCACUGGUAUUCCGGUGGGCAUGCCUGUUCGAGCGUCAUUAUCCUCCCUCAAACCCCGGGUUUGGUGUUGGACCCAAGUUGUGUGAACAACUGGUCUUAAAGACAAUGACGGCGUCCGUGGGACCCUCGGUGCAACGAGCUUUUAGGGGCACGCAUCGAGUUGCAAGGACCUUCCGGGCCGGUCUCCUUUACUAUUUUACAAGGUUGACCUCGGAUCAGGUAGGAAUACCCGCUGAACUUAAGCAUAUCAAUAAGCGGAGGA
rnacentral:misc_RNA from 1 species